rnacentral:tRNA from 1 species
GCCGCUGUAGCUCAGCGGAUAGAGCCCCACUUUGACGAUGGUCGUGGGUUCGAAUCCCACCAGUGGCA